GAUGAACGCUGGCGGUGUGCCUAAUACAUGCAAGUCGAGCGACAGGACAAGAAGAUCUCUCUCUUGCGGUUAGCGGCUGACGGGCGAGUAACACGUGGAUAACAAACUUCUAUUACUGGGAUGAUUUCGGGAAAACACAGCUGCUACUACCUCAUAUAUCCUACCGCUUGGUUCAAUAGUGCUUCACACCUUUCCCGUCACAUUUAGCUGGUUUCGCGCCGCAUUAGCUAGUUGGUAAGGUAACGGCUUACCAAGGCAACGAUGCGUAGCCGAGCUGAGAGGGUGAUCGGCCACACUGGAACUGAGACACGGUCCAGACUCCUACGGGAGGCAGCAGUGGGGAAUCUUCGGCAAUGGGCGAAAGCCUGACGGAGCAAUGCCGCGUGAGUGAUGAAGGUCUUCGGGUCGUAAAGCUCUGUUAUUAGGGAAGAACAGAAGUGGGUGUAACUAUGGACGUCUUGACGGUACCUAAUCAGAAAGCCACGGCUAACUUCGUG
rnacentral:rRNA from 1 species